GAACGCACAUUGCACUCUAUUUCGGUAGAGUAUGCCUGUUUGAGAAUCUAUAGUAUUCAUUCUUGGUUUGUUUCUCAUUUGAAACACCAAGAGAUUUGAGGCGUCGCACUAACCCUGCGUGCCUUUAAAACUAUCGAUGGGUAGACUAUAGAAAUGUUUGACGUCUCUAUAUACUGCGCUCUGUAUGUGCUUGAAACCGUGGUUUCUCUAAUACAAGGCAAAGUUAAGUGACUUAGUUUUUAUAGGAUUAUUCACUCACCUAUUAAAGUUUAGCAGUAAUGCAAAACUUGAACCAUGGUCUCAAAUCAGGUAGGAAGACCCGCUGAACUUAAG
rnacentral:misc_RNA from 1 species